AUAGAAGUUAAGGUAACAUAAUGUAGAAAUACUCAAUUACCUCAUCUUACUUACUUAUUUAAAUAAAUGUACUUGAUAUCUUCCACCAAUGGUUCAAGCUGCAGGGAAACUUUAUCCAGAUGAGAAGGAGGAAAACUUCCUCCUGAACAUCUGAUUAUUCUACUUUUAUUGUGUUCAAAGUGAAUCAAAUCCUCCUAGUUUUAGACUUUUAUACUUUUAUAUAUAUACAUAUAUAUAUAUACUGUAUAUAAUAAUUAUUUUUAUACAAAGCAGAUUGAUUCUCUACCAGAAUUAUGCAAAAUAAAUAUAUUUGACUUUUCUUUCUAAUUCAAUGAACCAAAAUAAACUUAUAUAAACUUUAAAUUAGCUCAAAUUACAUUUUUAUAACACCAGUAACUAAUGUUGAACAUCAAAUACAGCAUACAGACUUUACUGACAGACUUUAAAGACCCGCCCCCAAACAAAUCAGGCAAACUUCAUGGCCCAAAUUCAGAUAUAAAACAACAGUGGUAUCGUCUUUGCUGUAAGAUUUGGUUGUGAACAAGUCGCGCGUUUUAACUUUUAAGAACUUCCACGACUCAAGACGUGAGUAUUGUAAAUAUCUGUCCGGAUAGUCAAAAAAUAAUUUAAUUUAUGAAAUAUAGAGAAUAUUCAGAGUGUGAUACAGUUUUGCUGUCGUCUACUGAAUCAGGCGACUUGACACGAAUCCGUCACUGGAGCUUCCUCUUCACAACACAUCUGCUGUCCCACACAGACGACUGGAAUCUAUACAUUCCUGUGGGAAUUAGCAAAAUACCAGCGGAGGGAGUGUGUGUGUGUGUGUGUGUGUGUGAUUUGGGUGGAGGGUCCCUCUCCCUGGCAACAUCUGAAUGGGAUCAGCGAGCGACCAAUGGGGAAGCGGAGGAGAGAGUUUACUCUCACGUCAAAGGGUUCUAGUCACGUCGGUCGUCGCUGCUGUUGUCGGGGGCGACUCGGCUAAACUUAGACGCGACAAGCUUCGCCGAGGUCACAGAGCCUCGUCGGGUCCCGAUGAUGAACUUUGCUUUUACAGAAAUAUGCCGCCUGCUAAUCAGCGAUCGCCCCAUGAUUUUUGGUAACCGGGUUGCAGGUGUAUAUGUGCAUUGGACGAGCUCUCAGUCAGGCCACACCCCCAGCUCAUCCCCUUCUGGUUUAAACAAAAACAAAGAUGGCGCCAGCCAAAAUAUCAAACUCGAGGCUUCAAAAAGGAAUCUGCUCACGGACCAAUGGGGACAAAGCAGAGAGAGAGAGAGGGAGAAAAAACAGCCACACAUCUCUGCUCCAAAGGCAGCGAUGCGUGAUGAGGAAGAGCGUUCACCUGAAACACCACGAGCUGCCCUUCGUUUUCCACCCGAGCCGAAGAGACGCCAUGUCUGUCUCCAGCCACCAGAGGGCAGAUGAUCACACUGGGCUCCUCCACCAGGCAGCAGGAAAGUCACACACACACACACACACACACACACACACACACACACACACACACACACACACACACACACACACACACACACACACACACACACACACACACACACACACACACACACACACACACACACACACACACACACCUCCCAUCUCCACUCGACUGUCUUGUAUUGACUCUGGUCGUCAUAACAACUUUCUGAUGACGAGGGUUUGGGAAGGUAAGAGGAUACGGAGGGAGAAGGCCAGAGGAAGUGUGUGUGUGGGCGUAUUGGCUUCAGUGCCUGCACGUCCAGUCAACGGAUUAAUAUUCAACUAUGACUUCACCAAAUGUAAUCAUCACAUGGAGUAGACUGAUAUUUUUUAUUUUCGAGAACUUUAUUUCAGUCUCCUCCUCCUCAAAACAAUAAAGCCGAGACAAGAAUCUAAAAGUAGCAGUGACAAGAUGACGUGGACAACGAACACCGAAUGUUUAGGAAUACAUUUCAGGAUUUGUUUUUCAUUUUAAUUCGUAAAAAGAUAAUUUUGAUUAAAUUACAAUCAAAGUCCUUCCAAAAAAACUCACCUAGUUACAGAUUCAAGAGGAUUGAAUUGAAACUUUUCUCCAUUAGCUAAAAAGAAAACAAAAGGACUCUUUGACAAUAUUGACAGAGUAUCUGGUAUUUUCUCUUUGUAUGUGACUGACGUUACAGAUUUAAAUAAAACUCCAAAUUAAAAAAAGAAAGUGAGGAACUUUCUCUCCUCUGAGAAGCGUCGGCAGGUUUUUUUCCCCUCCAGGAUCCAUCUGGUGCCAACAACCACCACUGCUCCUGUUUGGCAGCCGGACAAGUCGGAUAACAACGUUGAAGAGAGUUAAUCAAACGGGAAUAUUUGAAAAGUGAAGGAGAACAAAAAGAAUUUGGUUCUUCCGUCUCCCACCGGUAGGAAACGAUGCCCUUGUGUGUGUGUG